rnacentral:rRNA from 1 species
CCUACGGGUGGCUGCAGUGGGGAAUAUUGGACAAUGGGGGCAACCCUGAUCCAGCCAUGCCGCGUGUGUGAAGAAGGCCCUCGGGUUGUAAAGCACUUUCAGUGAGGAAGAACGCCUGGUGGUUAAUACCCAUCAGGAAAGACAUCACUCACAGAAGAAGCACCGGCUAACUCCGUGCCAGCAGCCGCGGUAAUACGGAGGGUGCGAGCGUUAAUCGGAAUUACUGGGCGUAAAGCGCGCGUAGGUGGCGUGAUAAGCCGGUUGUGAAAGCCCCGGGCUCAACCUGGGAACGGCAUCCGGAACUGUCAAGCUAGAGUGCAGGAGAGGAAGGUAGAAUUCCCGGUGUAGCGGUGAAAUGCGUAGAGAUCGGGAGGAAUACCAGUGGCGAAGGCGGCCUUCUGGACUGACACUGACACUGAGGUGCGAAAGCGUGGGUAGCAAACAGGAUUAGAUACCCCGGUAGUC